GGUGUAAGGUUUUAUUAAUUGUGGACGUUUGUCAUAUAGUUUAACCCACAGCAUUUAAUUUUAAAGCUAUCUCUUUAGUUGAAAAUUCACAUCUUCUUCAAUAGAUUUAUGAAUUAAUUUGGCUCCAGGGACAUCGAUCAUUCUCUAUAAUUUCAUUAUUAUCACCAGUCACAGCACGUCUUCAAACUAAACACACCACCUGUUCAGGCAGGAUUCAAUUUUUGUGAUGUAAUUUCCGAAGAAUACUGCUAUAUUUUUUCAUGUAGAACAAAUAAUAAAAACCUAAUUUGUUUCUUUUUUCUUUCUUUUUGUUUUCAUAUGUAGCAACACCAAAGAUUACUAAGGAAACUGAGCCUGAUAUUCUUGUGGGUGCAGAAAUUGGAAAACCAGCAAUACUACAGAAAACUGUGUUUUCAAAACCAAAUAAUAUUAGUUUCAAUUGGGACAGAUCUGAUAGCAAGUCAACCUUUAAUUAUACAAAUAUUGAGCCAGAAAACAUUACUCUGAAAAUACACAGUAAAACAGUAAACGACUCGGGCUACAGAAUCUCACUCAAUAUCAGCUCAUUCUCACAGAAUGACAUAGGAACCUACACACUGACUGUCUGUAAUGAUGUUGGAUGUUCUCAGUUUCCUGUAAACCUAACAGCAGCAGGACCGCCUCUUCCUCCAAAACAGCUACAACAAGAAGGGGAAUCAACGUCUGACACAGUCUGGUUGUCAUGGUUACCUUACUAUCCAGGUGGAAAUUACAAACAAAGAUUUGUCUUGGAGUACAAACUCCAAAGUGAGUCUGAAUGAACAUUUAAAUGGACCAGUGACUGGUUUGAAGAUUUACUUCAAGAUCAGAAAAUGUUUUACAACAUCACAGACCUCGAGGCUGGCCAGGUGUAUGAUGUCAGGCUGUCAGCUGAGAAUGACCGCCCAAAAGACAAUGUUAGUGACUGUCAACAUAACAGCAAUGACAGCAAAAGAGGCUGAUAAAUUAACUGGAUCUGGUUUGGGGAUUGGUGCAGCUGUUGGAGGUGCUGUUGGUUCUGUGACUGUGGUUGGCGUUAUAGUGGUGCUGGUUGUGUUCUUUGUACGACGAUCACGAUUAUCAAGCAAAAACA